AUUGAACGCUGGCGGCAUGCCUUACACAUGCAAGUCGAACGGUAACAGGUCUUCGGAUGCUGACGAGUGGCGAACGGGUGAGUAAUACAUCGGAACGUGCCUAGUAGUGGGGGAUAACUACUCGAAAGAGUGGCUAAUACCGCAUGAGAUCUACGGAUGAAAGCAGGGGAUCGCAAGACCUUGUGCUACUAGAGCGGCCGAUGGCAGAUUAGGUAGUUGGUGGGAUAAAAGCUUACCAAGCCGACGAUCUGUAGCUGGUCUGAGAGGACGAUCGGCCACACUGGGACUGGGACACGGCCCAGACUCCUACGGGAGGCAGCAGUGGGGAAGUUUGGACAAUGGGCGCAAGCCUGAUCCAGCAAUGCCGCGUGCAGGAUGAAGGCCUUCGGGUUGUAAACUGCUUUUGUACGGAACGAAAAGCCCCGGGUUAAUACCCUGGGGUCAUGACGGUACCGUAAGAAUAAGCACCGGCUAACUACGUGCCAGCAGCCGCAGUAA
rnacentral:rRNA from 1 species